ensembl:miRNA
GCUGGGGCUGGGUGGUUGUGGCAGGCCCACCUCGGGUAUGCAAAGCUCUGACAGUGUUUCACUUGCUACCCUUGGUCUGCUUACCACACUGCCAGUUCUGC